GAUGAACGCUGGCGGCGUGCCUAAUACAUGCAAGUCGAGCGAACAGACGAGGAGCUUGCUCCUCUGACGUUAGCGGCGGAGGGGUGAGUAACACGUUGAUAAACUACCUUUACGACUGGGAUAACUUCGGGAUACCGGAGCUAAUACCGGAUAAUAUAUAGAACUGCAUGGUUCAAUAGUCAAAGACGGUUUUGCUGUCACUUAAUGAUGGAUUCGGACCGCAUUAGGUAGUUGGUAAGGUAAAGGGUUAGCAGGGCAACGAUGCGUAGCCGACCGGAUGGGGUGGGCGGCCACACUGGAACUGUAACACGGUCCAGACUCCUACGGGACGCAGCGGUGGGGAAUCGUCCACAAGGGGCGAAAGCCAGACGGAACAACGCCGCGUGAGUGAUAAAGAUCUUCGGAUCUUAAAACUCUGUUAUUAGGGAAGAAGAAAUGUGUAAGUAACUAUGCACGUCUUGACGGUACCUAAUCAGAAAGCCACGGCUAACUACGUG
rnacentral:rRNA from 1 species